GAACGCUAGCGGCAGGCUUAAUACAUGCAAGUCGUGGGGCAGCAUGAGUAGCAAUACUUGAUGGCGACCGGCAAACGGGUGAGGAACACGUACACAACCUUCCUUCAAGCGGGGAAUAGCCCAGAGAAAUUUGGAUUAAUACCCCAUAAUAUAUUUGAUAAGGCAUCUUAUUAAUAUUAAAGCUUCGGCACUUGAUGAUGGGUGUGCGGCUGAUUAGAUAGUUGGCGGGGUAACGGCCCACCAAGUCUACGAUCAGUAGCUGAUGUGAGAGCAUGAUCAGCCACACGGGCACUGAGACACGGGCCCGACUCCUACGGGAGGCAGCAGUAAGGAAUAUUGGACAAUGGACGAAAGUCUGAUCCAGCCAUGCCGCGUGAAGGAUUAAGGUCCUCUGGAUUGUAAACUUCUUUUAUAUGGGACGAAAAAGGGCAUUCUUGUUCACUUGACGGUACCAUAUGAAUAAGCACCGGCUAACUCCGUG
rnacentral:rRNA from 1 species